GACGAACGCUGGCGGCGUGCCUAACACAUGCAAGUCAAGCGAGGGGAGUUCUUCGGAACAAACCUAGCGGCGGACGGGUGAGUAACACGUGGGCAACCUGCCUUGUAGAGGGGAAUAGCCUUCCGAAAGGAAGAUUAAUACCGCAUAACAUUGCUACUUCGCAUGGAGAAGCAAUCAAAGGAGCAAUCCGCUACAAGAUGGGCCCGCGGCGCAUUAGCUAGUUGGUGAGGUAACGGCUCACCAAGGCGACGAUGCGUAGCCGACCUGAGAGGGUGAUCGGCCACAUUGGGACUGAGACACGGCCCAAACUCCUACGGGAGGCAGCAGUGGGGAAUAUUGCGCAAUGGGCGAAAGCCUGACGCAGCAACGCCGCGUGCGGGAUGACGGCCUUCGGGUUGUAAACCGCUUUCAGCAGGGAAGAAGCCGCAAGGUGACGGUACCUGCAGAAGAAGCACCGGCUAACUACGUGCCAGCCGCCGCCGUAACAC
rnacentral:rRNA from 1 species